GGCGUUGUGGGGUGGGCGCGCGGGGCUGGGACGCGUUUCCUUUCCUCGCGUCCUGCCCGAGCUCGGCCCUACCAGCCUCUCUUUGCUCAAGUCCGGAGCAGAACGGACGCGGGCUCUGUCCUGGGAGUGACCUCCUCCCCGCCAGGGAGUUCAGAGGACAUCACUGAACUAGGAGAAGCUGAUAGCAAUGCCAGUUAUCACUGUGGUCAUUAAUAAUGCAGUGAGGAUCGCGAUAAUUAAUAAUAAUAAUGAUGGGCCUCCCGAGGGGGCUCCAGCUGCCUCCGGAUAAAGCGACUCCCCGAUGAGGGCAGUUACUCGGGGGGUGGAUGGAGGGCAGCGCGCGGGGCGCGGCCUUGGGAGCCCUGAAGUUCAAGUUGACGGCGGUGGCGGCCAGACUCGGUCCUCCGUCCGCUGCCGCUCUGGGUCCCCAAGAGAGGCGAGGACGGGCUUCAGUGUUGUGGCUCUGGAGUCGAGGCAAGGGCAGUGCCCAGGAUUCGAAGGGCGAAAGAGGGAGACUGGGCCACACCGUCGGGUUGGUGAUUCGUCCGGACAAAGCCCGGGAAGCGAGGGCGGAGGAACUGGGAGCCAUUUUGGAGGGACGCUGCUCCCCCUGGCUCCGUACAUCCUAGGGUGGGCCACGAAACCAGUUCUAGGCUGUGGUCUUCUCCGCCGGGUUCGUCUUCACCUUUUAUUUUCCUACUGAAAACUAAGGUCAGGCCCAGCGACCUAAGGAGCCUUUCGGGCGGCCGUCCGACUCUCAGAUCUGGAAAGCGACGGGACCCCAAUGCCGUGAGAGGCUUCUCUUCUUCCUUCUUGCCUCAACUCAGAAGAAAAGCCCCCAAGACCUUGAGGUGAUGGGAAAGUUGCCCCCCUACAUCUUAUUCCACCCUUCUCAGAUUUGGGAGAUGUCUCAAAACUAACAAUUCCCACCUCCCAAAUUAAAAAGUUGAAAACAU
rnacentral:lncRNA from 1 species